rnacentral:rRNA from 1 species
GAUGAACGCUGGCGGCGUGCCUAACACAUGCAAGUCGAGCGGGAUUUUCCGGAUUGAAGCUUCGGUAGAUUGAAGGAAAUGAGAGCGGCGGACGGGUGAGUAACGCGUAGGCAACCUGCCCUUUGCAGAGGGAUAGCCAUUGGAAACGACGAUUAAAACCUCAUAAUGCCACGAAGUGACAUCGCUUUGUGGCCAAAGAUUUAUCGGCAAAGGAUGGGCCUGCGUCUGAUUAGCUAGUUGGUGGGGUAACGGCUCACCAAGGCGACGAUCAGUAGCCGACCUGAGAGGGUGAUCGGCCACAUUGGAACUGAGACACGGGUCCAAACUCCUACGGGAGGCAGCAGUGGGGAAUAUUGCACAAUGGGCGAAAGCCUGAUGCAGCAACGCCGCGUGAGCGAAGAAGGCCUC